CGGUUUUCACAAUUAUUAUGAAAAAGGAGCAACUAGAUAAAAUUUCCUUUCGGAAAAAGCGCUACGCUUGAUAUAUCAGAGUAGAAUAUCUGGUAGAAGAAUCGCUCACAGUAUAAAAAAAUUAACACCGUACAUUAAAACCAAUACAUUCUCCGCUAUGCUCCGAAUCUAAAACUGAAAAUGUUGUUCGAACAAAAACUAAACGAAUCCA